rnacentral:rRNA from 3 species
AAAUAAUUAAAACUUUUAACAACGGAUCUCUUGGUUCUGGCAUCGAUGAAGAACGCAGCGAAAUGCGAUAAGUAAUGUGAAUUGCAGAAUUCAGUGAAUCAUCGAAUCUUUGAACGCACAUUGCGCUCGCCAGCAUUCUGGCGAGCAUGCCUGUUCGAGCGUCAUUUC